rnacentral:snoRNA from 1 species
AUCACAAAUACUGUGAAUGCAUAGUCUCGCACAACUUGAGCUUGCUACAGCAAGAAACUCUAACCUAUUCUGGCACUUUCCCCUCUGGGAGAUGGGCCCUUUCUCAGACUUAAACAGU